CUACUCUUGACAUCCUGCGAACUUGGUAGAGAUACCUUGGUGCCUUCGGGAACGCAGAGACAGGUGCUGCAUGGCUGUCGUCAGCUCGUGUUGUGAAAUGUUGGGUUAAGUCCCGUAACGAGCGCAACCCUUGUCCUUAGUUGCCAUCAUUUAGUUGGGGACUCUAAGGAGACUGCCGGUGACAAACCGGAGGAAGGCGGGGACGACGUCAAGUCAUCAUGGCCCUUACGAGUAGGGCUACACACGUGCUACAAUGGCCGGUACAGAGGGUCGCGAAGCCGCGAGGUGGAGCUAAUCUCACAAAGCCGGUCGUAGUCCGGAUUGGAGUCUGCAACUCGACUCCAUGAAGUCGGAAUCGCUAGUAAUCGUGAAUCAGAAUGUCACGGUGAAUACGUUCCC
rnacentral:rRNA from 1 species